CAAAAAUCCUAGGAACAGUUCCCCAACUGUCACUCUGAACCUGGGAGGUGAAGGAGAAAAGGUGUGUGGUUGGGACAUCUUGAAACCCAUCCAUCAAGCUACUGGGCUUUUGAAUAUCUACUGGUUGUGGAAGUCUAAUCCUAUGAAACGCAAAUGUCCCAGGCCAAAAAUGCAACUACUUUCAGCUUUUCUACAUAUUUCUCAGGCUCUUUUCCUCUAAAAGAUCAUCAACCCAAGAACCUGUAUAAGAAAGAGUAAGUAAUUAAAAAAUAAUUUAAUAGAUAUGAGAACCAAUUGAUAUGUGUCCUCUAUACAAUUAACAAAUCAUAACCCAUCCAUUUGGACUUUCUAAUUGUGGGUAACCUAUUUCCAUGUUCUUUCAUAAAUCUUCCAGAGGAAGUCCACCCACCCAACAAGUUAUAUGUCAUCCCCUAGCUCUAUAAACAUUUCACUGUUACUGACUGAGUAUACAGUCUACCAAUUGGUCAUUUCUCCUUCCCAUUGUAUCAUCGAUC
rnacentral:lncRNA from 1 species